UACGGAGGGUGCGAGCGUUGUCCGGAAUCACUGGGCGUAAAGGGCGCGUAGGUGGCCUGUUGAAGUCUGCGGUGAAAGCCCGGCGCUCAACGCCGGGUCGGCCGUGGAUACUCUCGGGCUCGAGCUUACUAGAGGCAGAUGGAAUUCCGGGUGUAGCGGUGGAAUGCGUAGAGAUCCGGAAGAACACCAGUGGCGAAGGCGGCCCGCUGGGCAGUGGCUGACGCUGAGGCGCGACAGCGUGGGGAGCAAACAGG
rnacentral:rRNA from 1 species